AUGAACGCUGGCGGCGUGCCUAAUACAUGCAAGUCGAGCGAACGGACGAGAAGCUUGCUUCUCUGAUGUUAGCGGCGGACGGGUGAGUAACACGUGGAUAACCUACCUAUAAGACUGGGAUAACUUCGGGAAACCGGAGCUAAUACCGGAUAAUAUUUUGAACCGCAUGGUUCAAAAGUGAAAGACGGUCUUGCUGUCACUUAUAGAUGGAUCCGCGCUGCAUUAGCUAGUUGGUAAGGUAACGGCUUACCAAGGCAACGAUGCAUAGCCGACCUGAGAGGGUGAUCGGCCACACUGGAACUGAGACACGGUCCAGACUCCUACGGGAGGCAGCAGUAGGGAAUCUUCCGCAAUGGGCGAAAGCCUGACGGAGCAACGCCGAGUGAGUGAUGAAGGUCUUCGGAUCGUAAAACUCUGUUAUUAGGGAAGAACAUAUGUGUAAGUAACUGUGCACAUCUUGACGGUACCUAAUCAGAAAGCCACGGCUAACUACGUG
rnacentral:rRNA from 1 species